rnacentral:rRNA from 1 species
GACGAACGCUGGCGGCGUGCUUAACACAUGCAAGUCGAACGGAAAGGCCCUGCUUUUGUGGGGUGCUCGAGUGGCGAACGGGUGAGUAACACGUGAGUAACCUGCCCUUGACUUUGGGAUAACUUCAGGAAACUGGGGCUAAUACCGGAUAGGAGCUCCUGCUGCAUGGUGGGGGUUGGAAAGUUUCGGCGGUUGGGGAUGGACUCGCGGCUUAUCAGCUUGUUGGUGGGGUAGUGGCUUACCAAGGCUUUGACGGGUAGCCGGCCUGAGAGGGUGACCGGCCACAUUGGGACUGAGAUACGGCCCAGACUCCUACGGGAGGCAGCAGUGGGGAAUAUUGCACAAUGGGCGGAAGCCGGAUGCAGCAACGCCGCGUGCGGGAGGACGGCCUUCGGGUUGUAAACCGCUUUCGCCUGUGACGAAGCGUGAGUGACGGUAAGGGGUAAAGAAGCACCGGCUAACUACGUGC